AAAGUUACUGUAAAGAGACAGCAUCAAUUAAUACUGUUUUUUGUUUUGUUUUGUUUUUUGGUUUUUGCUUGCAAGGUUUUUUUUAGAAAAAUAUGUUACUGAAUGAUAAUAAUAUAGCAGAUAUUGUAUUCUUAGGGAGGAGCUACUGUACAUGAUUCAUGUUUUUAUUACCCAGCACCUGCUAUAUUUGAGUUAGUUAUAUCUUUGGUAGAAAUGCGCAGCAGUGAUUUUCAGUCAUUUUUGUCUCUUCGCUGGUCAGGUCUUUUCAUUUUGAGAGAAAAACAGAGAGAAAAACAGCCCAUCAGAGAAGAUAAAGUCUCAUCCUGAGGGUGGAGCAAAUUCACAAAGACUUGAAUGUGUGAAAGGCUGAUUCAGAUGGAGUGAACCUGCUUUGACAGCUUUACAAUCACUCUUCAUCACAAACCAUCAUGCUUCUCUUUUGUUGGAUAUCACUGUCAUUAUUCAUGGGAAAUUCCUUUGCUGACACAAUACAGCCGUCGUCUUCUGAACAACAUAUUUUCAGAGGUGACAGUGUGACUCUGUCCUGUAACUACAGUGGCCGUGGAUAUAACCUGCUAUGGUAUCGGAAAUAUGAGGGAUCAAGACCGGAGUUCCUGAUACUUGUAAAUGAAAAUUCAGAGUCUCGUGAGGAUUCUCUUCGUCUGUCAGCAAAA